AUGAGCGCUGACAGAAUGCUUAACACAUGCAAGUCAACUUGAAUUUGGGUUUUUUAACUUCGAUUUGGGUGGCGGACGGGUGAGUAACGCGUAAAGAACUUGCCUCACAGCUAGGGACAACAUUUGGAAACGAAUGCUAAUACCUGAUAUUAUGAUUAUAAGGCAUCUUAGAAUUAUGAAAGCUAUAUGCGCUGUGAGAGAGCUUUGCGUCCCAUUAGCUAGUUGGAGAGGUAACGGCUCACCAAGGCGAUGAUGGGUAGCCGGCCUGAGAGGGUGAACGGCCACAAGGGGACUGAGACACGGCCCUUACUCCUACGGGAGGCAGCAGUGGGGAAUAUUGGACAAUGGACCAAGAGUCUGAUCCAGCAAUUCUGUGUGCACGAUGACGUUUUUCGGAAUGUAAAGUGCUUUCAGUUGGGAAGAAAAAAAUGACGGUACCAACAGAAGAAGUGACGGCUAAAUACGUG
rnacentral:rRNA from 1 species